CAUUUGUUGUUUUAAAACAACCCACAUUUAUGCCAAUCCACAACACCUAACGCAAACAGUAAGUUUCAGCUAAUCGCCAUCUCCUUGCACGACGUCCACAUCUGGGAGCCUUCUCCCCCCAAACGCCCAAACGCUGCAUCGAUGCACGCCGAACGCACAAGUGCUCACCACAUUUUCGCUCCGCAGCUGCGCUAGAAGACAGGAGUCGAUAAAUAACCCCUUUGAAUGAGAUCCUGUGGGUUUCGGGGGAGUUUGAAACGUUGAACAUCCAGUGAUAGUUCUCCCCGGCGACAAAUUGCAGCCGAUUUCCCAAAUGAAGCUUUCAAAGGAGGAGUCAAAGGCGGCAAGCUUUUAUUGGACUACAGGUGCGAACCACUGAGGGCCAAUAAAUGUGGCACAGAAGAACAACUGCCGGUCCCGUCCUCAGACAUAACAGUAGAGGCUGGACAACAUGCUGCCGAGUCAUCAGAUUAGGAGCAAGCGAUGUUGGACUGGAGGCUGCAUGACAAGCAAGCAGCUUUAAUACAGUAAAUAUUAGCACUUGGAAGAUCUGAAUCCUUUUCCCAGCAUGCACUGGGUAACAAACAGGGAAAACUCCCUGCUAAAGUUCCCCGUCCUUCGCUGUGUGGACUCACAGUGCUGUGCUCUGCGUGCGGAUCCCCGUUGACUCGCUGCGUAUUCAGCUGAGUCUGGUCUGCUAAGCGUGGAAUAAAUGCCCAGCAGGGUGCCGCCGUCCUCGCUGACGGAGACUCUCGCUCCCGCAGCCGCCUCCUUUCACUGUACCCCUCGCCCACAGAAAGACGCGGCCUCUCCCCCACCAGCUCCCUUCCGUUGUCUCACGCUCUCCUCAGACUUCUGUUGGCAGGUGCAUUACUGCGGGAGCUUCUGUCCCACAGCCCCCCCCCCCCCCCCCCCCGCAUAAAGACAGUGAUCGGGACAAGGGAAGCAUCAGAAGAAAGAAGUACAGCCAGAGAGGGGGAGGAGGGGGAGGAGGAGGGGACAACAGCUCCAGACCUGAGAAAACAACAGCUGCAACAGCCGCAUUGUAAUUCCGACAUUUGUUUCAUGCUGGGUGCAGCAGCAGCAAGAAUCAACAUACACUGUAUCACGACGUCACAAAGCCUGAAGUCCUGCAGACUGGACGGCAGGUCCGAGCCGCCGCAGCGCCUGUUUGAGCGAGGGUCCGGCUCCCUUUGACCCACAGCAGCUUCAUGUCAGCGUAUCAGUAACCGCUCGCCUGCUUUUGGCUGGCAGCGCUAAGCAGAGAACCAGGAAUAGAAAGACACACGAGAGGCCGAGCGGCCGAGCAGCAGCGGGACGGGGAGGAACGAGAACGCAGGAGAAGAUGAAAGGGGGGAGAUUGAUGCCGGACUGGGAACGAUUCGGACGAGGGAGAACAAAACGGAGAAACGAAAACACACAAAGAGAAUGAAUCUUCAUCUUUCUUUGUAAGUCAGGACGACUUUUUCAUAAAUAACAGUUCGAAAAACAAUCCCAGUGUGGUCUGGGUCAUUCAAUGUUUAAAAUCU